rnacentral:sRNA from 1 species
GCCAUUUUUGUGGUGUCCACCAUCUUUCACUGCCACCAGCGCCUGGCUCUGGUGCCUGCGCCCUGGGCAUACUCCGCCCAUGUGGUCCUGGCCCCCAGACACCUGCCCCGGGAGGGCCUGUUCACUAUCAACUCCAAGGGCCGCCUGGGGAACCAGAUGGGCGAGUAUGCCACGCUGUAUGCCCUGGCCAAGAUGAACGGGCGGCCCGCCUUCAUCCCGGCCCAGAUGCACAGCACCCUGGCCCCCAUCUUCAGAAUCACCCUGCCAGUGCUGCACAGCGCCACGGCCAGCAGGAUCCCCUGGCAGAACUACCACCUGAACGACUGGAUGGAGGAGGAGUACCGCCACAUCCCGGGGCGCUAUGUCCGACUCACGGGCUACCCCUGCUCCUGGACCUUCUACCACCACCUCCGCCAGGAGAUCCUCCAGGAGUUCACCCUGCACAACCACGUGCGCGAGGAGGCCCAGAAGUUCCUGCGGGGCCUGCAGGCCAAGUGGGCAGGGCAGGCAACCUUCAUGGGGGUCCAUGUGCGCCGGGGGGACUAUGUCCGUGUCAUGCCACGCGUAUGGAAGGGGGUGCUGGCCGACAGGGGCUACCUGCAGCGGGCCCUGGACUGGUUCCGGGCCUGCUGCCGCCUCCCGGUCUUUGUGGUCACCAGCGAUGACGUGGCCUGGUGCCGGGAGAGCAUCAACAGCUCCCUUGGGGACGUGGUGUUCGCUGGCAAUGGCCUCCAGGGCUCACCUGCCAAGGACUUUGCACUGCUCACACAGUGCAACCACACCAUCAUCACUGUGGGCACCUUCGGGGUCUGGGCCGCGUACCUCGCGGGCGGGGACACUGUCUACCUGGCCAACUUCACCCUGCCCAGCUCCCCUUUCAACGUGGUCUUUAGGCCGUAAGCAGCCUUCCUGCCAGAGUGGGUGGGCCUUGCGGCUGACCUU